GUUAGCAUUGGCUUCGUGCAAACAUAAUAUCCUUGGGUUUGAUGUUCUAGCAGGCAGAAGAUGGCACCUUCCUGACGGAACAUUAUGGAGCUUUGGUGCUUAUGAGAUGAGGAACAAGAGGCAAAGCAGUUCCUAGUCUUUCAUCCACAGUGACAGCAAUCCAAGCGGCUUCUCACACCUGGAUGGCGACUCUAGACGUGAAGGACAUGUUCUUCAUGGUGCCGUUGAGAGAAGAGGACAAACCGCAGUUUGCUUUUACCUGGCAAGCCUUUCUGGUUUUUUCCCCGGACUUAACAACAACAAGCUGCUCACCGAUCUAGUCUCGCCUCGGGUGGACCCCGAGUCGCGGAGACUACAUUCUGCAUGCCUGGACCCUUAUCGGGAGAAUGAGAGACUCCUUACCAAGCUAUAGACUGUGAGUAGCUGACUGACGAACUAUUAACUCAAACCAGAGACUCAAAGAACUCUCUUUAAACAUCAUAGACUCUAUAAUUUGCCAUUUUCGGAAAUGUUACUUUGAUCUCAAUCAAAAAGAAUUCACAGUGGUGGUGUAGUUUCGGGAAGAGGGAAUCCGCAUUCUUUGCAAUAAAUCACUGAUAAAAUA